UACGUAGGGGGCAAGCGUUAUCCGGAUUUACUGGGUGUAAAGGGAGCGUAGACGGCUGUGCAAGUCUGAAGUGAAAGCCCGUGGCUCAACCGCGGAACUGCUUUGGAAACUGUAUAGCUUGAGUACUGGAGAGGCAGGCGGAAUUCCAGGUGUAGGAGUGAAAUCCGUAGAUAUCUGGAGGAACAUCAGUGGCGAAGGCGGCCACCUGGACCGGUAUUGACGCUGAGGCGCGAAAGCGUGGGGAGCAAACAGG
rnacentral:rRNA from 1 species